CUACUUAUGUAUUAUCGCAACAACCUUAGUAGAAAUCACCAAAGUUACAGAAUGGGCUAAACUCUGGCAAGCACGAGCAUAGCAGUUAUUCAGGGAACAGCGACGAAAUGUGUUUUCUAGACAGACUCUGUUGCCGAAAAUUGCACGAAGCCAAGUCUCCACGAUUAUUGCUGUGUACUUCCGGAGAAGAAACGAAAAAAAAUAAUUAUAGAAAGCUUCGAAGAAAAAUUUGAUUUCAAAGUAUGUCUGCCUGAGAAAAUGAGCUGCCGAGGUCAGG